GAUUAAGUGUCGUAAGGGCAUUUGGUGGAUGCCUUGGCAUGCACAGGCGAUGAAGGACGUGAUACGCUGCGAUAAGCCGUGGGGAGCUGCGAAUGAGCUUUGAUCCAUGGAUCUCCGAAUGGGGCAACCCACCUUAGAUACUUGGGAAAUCUGUUUGGUUGUCGGAUCUUCGAUCCGACGUUACGGCGAACGAUCGCCGACGGCCUCUGGCCUGUAUGGGUGCCUUGCUCGAUGUUCGGGUUUGGCAGCACUACAGCGCGGUAGCGCGUCGCCGGUCGUCCGGCGCGCCGUCCGCAGGCCUUUGGCCGUGAGGACAUGAACCAAACAGGUUUCCAAGUAUCGUUAAUAAGGUAUCUUACCUUCGAAUACAUAGGGGUAAGAAGCGAACGCAGGGAACUGAAACAUCUAAGUACCUGCAGGAAAGGACAUCAACCGAGACUCCGCAAGUAGUGGCGAGCGAACGCGGACCAGGCCAGUGGCAAUGAGGAAUAAAGCGGAACCAUCUGGAAAGUUGGGCCGUAGCGGGUGACAGCCCCGUACGCGUAGAACACUCAUUGUCCUAGAGUAGGGCGGGACACGAGAAAUCCUGUCUGAACAUGGGGAGACCACUCUCCAAGCCUAAGUACUCGUGCAUGACCGAUAGCGAACAAGUACCGUGAGGGAAAGGUGAAAAGCACCCCGACAAGGGGAGUGAAAUAGAACCUGAAACCGGAUGCCUACAAACAGUCGGAGCCUGAAAGGGUGACGGCGUACCUUUUGUAUAAUGGGUCAACGACUUAGUGUAACAAGCAAGCUUAAGCCGGUAGGUGUAGGCGUAGCGAAAGCGAGUCUGAAUAGGGCGAUUGAGUUUGUUGCAUUAGACCCGAAACCGAGUGAUCUAGCCAUGAGCAGGUUGAAGGUUGGGUAACACCAACUGGAGGACCGAACCCGCAUCUGUUGCAAUAGAUUGGGAUGACUUGUGGCUAGGGGUGAAAGGCCAAUCAAACUCGGAAAUAGCUGGUUCUCCGCGAAAUCUAUUUAGGUAGAGCGUCGAGCGAAUACCCCCGGGGGUAGAGCACUGGAUGGGCUAUGGGGACUCACCGUCUUACUGAUCCUAACCAAACUCCGAAUACCGGGGAGUACUACUCGGCAGACACACGGCGGGUGCUAACGUCCGUCGUGAAAAGGGCAACAACCCUGACCUCCAGCUAAGGUCCCCAAGUCAUGGCUAAGUGGGAAAGGAUGUGAGGAUCCCAAAACAACCAGGAUGUUGGCUUAGAAGCAGCCAUCAUUUAAAGAAAGCGUAACAGCUCACUGGUCUAAAUAAGGGUCUUUGCGCCGAAAAUGUAACGGGGCUGAAGCCAUGCACCGAAGCUGAGGAUGUGUAGCAAUACACGUGGUAGCGGAGCGUUCCGUAAGCCUGUGAAGGGACAGUCGUGAGACAUCCUGGAGGUAUCGGAAGUGCGAAUGUCGACAUGAGUAACGAUAAAGAGGGUGAGAGACCCUCUCGCCGAAAGACCAAGGGUUCCUGCUUAAAGUUAAUCUGAGCAGGGUUAGCCGGCCCCUAAGACGAGGCGGACACGCGUAGUCGAUGGGAACCACGUUAAUAUUCGUGGGCCUGGUGGUAGUGACGGAUUGCUCAACUUGUAAGGUCUUAUUGGAUUGAUCUUGCAGGGACGCGGUUCCAGGAAACAGCUCCACCGUAUAGACCGUACCCGAAACCGACACAGGUGGUCAGGUAGAGUAUACCAAGGCGCUUGAGAGAACUAUGUUGAAGGAACUCGGCAAAUUGCACGCGUAACUUCGGAAGAAGCGUGACCCCAUUUUGGGCAACCAGGAUGGGGUGGCACAGACCAGGGGGUAGCGACUGUUUAUCAAAAACACAGGGCUCUGCGAAGUAGCAAUACGACGUAUAGGGUCUGACGCCUGCCCGGUGCUGGAAGGUUAAAGGGAGAGGUGCAAGCUUUGAACUGAAGCCCCAGUAAACGGCGGCCGUAACUAUAACGGUCCUAAGGUAGCGAAAUUCCUUGUCGGGUAAGUUCCGACCUGCACGAAUGGCGUAACGACUUCCCCGCUGUCUCCAACAUAGACUCAGUGAAAUUGAAUUCCCCGUGAAGAUGCGGGGUUCCUGCGGUCAGACGGAAAGACCCCGUGCACCUUUACUAUAGCUUUACACUUGGCAUUCGUGUCGGCAUGUGUAGGAUAGGUGGUAGGCUUUGAAGCGGGGACGCCAGUUUCCGUGGAGCCAUCCUUGAAAUACCACCCUUAUCGUCUAUGGAUGUCUAACCGCGGUCCGUUAUCCGGAUCCGGGACAGUGUAUGGUGGGUAGUUUGACUGGGGCGGUCGCCUCCGAAAGAGUAACGGAGGCCGCGCGAUGGUGGGCUCAGACCGGUCGGUAAAUCGGUCGUCGAGUGCAAUGGCAUAAGCCCGCCUGACUGCGAGACUGACAAGUCGAGCAGAGACGAAAGUCGGUCAUAGUGAUCCGGUGGUCCCGCGUGGAAGGGCCAUCGCUCAACGGAUAAAAGGUACGCCGGGGAUAACAGGCUGAUGACCCCCAAGAGUCCAUAUCGACGGGGUUGUUUGGCACCUCGAUGUCGGCUCAUCGCAUCCUGGGGCUGGAGCAGGUCCCAAGGGUUUGGCUGUUCGCCAAUUAAAGCGGUACGUGAGCUGGGUUCAGAACGUCGUGAGACAGUUCGGUCCCUAUCUGCCGUGGGUGUAGGAAUAUUGACAGGAUCUGUCCCUAGUACGAGAGGACCGGGAUGGACAUAUCUCUGGUGGACCUGUUGUCCUGCCAAGGGCAUAGCAGGGUAGCUACAUAUGGAAGGGAUAACCGCUGAAGGCAUCUAAGCGGGAAACCCACCUGAAAACGAGUGUUCCCUAUCAGAGCCGUGGAAGACGACCACGUUGAUAGGCCGGGUGUGGAAGUGCAGCAAUGCAUGAAGCUUACCGGUACUAAUAGCUCGAUCGGCUUGAUCGU
rfam:Rhizobium gallicum bv. gallicum R602, complete genome.